CAUCGCCUCUUGUUAACAUAAGAGGUCCAGCCUGCCCAGUGACCUAGUUCAACGGCCGCGGUAUCCUAACCGUGCGAAGGUAGCGUAAUCACUUGUCUUCUAAAUAAAGACUAGUAUGAAAGGCACCACGAGAACUAAACUGUCUCCCUUUUCUAAUCAGUGAACCUAAUCUCCCCGUGAAGAAGCGGGGAUUUAUAAAUAAGACGAGAAGACCCUAUGGAGCUUUAAACACAUAACACCUGCCUAACACCCACACCGCGCAGGAUGAUUACAAGUUUUCAGUUGGGGCGACUACGGAGAAAACCUACCCUCCGUGAUGACUCUACAACAAGCUACAGCUUUAUGUAUCAGUAAACUGACACCAUUGACCCAAUAUAUUGAUCAACGAACCAAGUUACCCUAGGGAUAACAGCGCAAUCCUCUUAGAGAGCUCCUAUCGACAAGGGGGCUUACGACCUCGAUGUUGGAUCAGGGUAUCCUAGUGGUGCAGCAGCUACUAAGGGUUCGUUUGUUCAACGAUUAAAACCCU
rnacentral:rRNA from 1 species